AUAUCUGUGGCCUAAUGCACAAGGCGUUGGCAUACGAAUCUGAUGUCUGCGGGUUCGAAUCCCGCUUGAGAAA
rnacentral:tRNA from 1 species